AUGAACGCUAGCUACAGGCUUAACACAUGCAAGUCGAGGGGCAGCGGGAUUGAAGCUUGCUUCAAUUGCCGGCGACCGGCGCACGGGUGAGUAACGCGUAUCCAACCUUCCGCUUACUCGGGGAUAGCCUUUCGAAAGAAAGAUUAAUACCCGAUGGUAUCUUAAGCACGCAUGAGAUUAAGAUUAAAGAUUUAUCGGUAAGCGAUGGGGAUGCGUUCCAUUAGGCAGUUGGCGGGGUAACGGCCCACCAAACCUACGAUGGAUAGGGGUUCUGAGAGGAAGGUCCCCCACAUUGGAACUGAGACACGGUCCAAACUCCUACGGGAGGCAGCAGUGAGGAAUAUUGGUCAAUGGGCGAGAGCCUGAACCAGCCAAGUAGCGUGAAGGAUGACGGCCCUACGGGUUGUAAACUUCUUUUGUGCGGGAAUAAAGGAGCCUACGUGUAGGCUUUUGCAUGUACCGUAACGAAUAAGCAUCGGCUAACUCCGUGCCAGCAGCCGCGGUAAUACGGAGGAUGCGAGCGUUAUCCGGAUUUAUUGGGUUUAAAGGGAGCGUAGACGGGUUUUUAAGUCAGCUGUGAAAGUUUGGGGCUCAACCUUAAAAUUGCAGUUGAAACUGGAGACCUUGAGUACGGUUGAGGCAGGCGGAAUUCGUGGUGUAGCGGUGAAAUGCUUAGAUAUCACGAAGAACCCCGAUUGCGAAGGCAGCCUGCUAAGCCGCCACUGACGUUGAGGCUCGAAAGUGCGGGUAUCAAACAGGAUUAGAUACCCUGGUAGUCCGCACGGUAAACGAUGGAUACUCGCUGUUGGCGAUAGACGGUCAGCGGCCAAGCGAAAGCGUUAAGUAUCCCACCUGGGGAGUACGCCGGCAACGGUGAAACUCAAAGGAAUUGACGGGGGCCCGCACAAGCGGUGGAGUAUGUGGUUUAAUUCGAAGCAACGCGAAGAACCUUACCAAGUCUUGACAUCCUUCUGACCGGUACUUAAUCGUACCUUCUCUUCGGAGCAGGAGUGACAGGUGGUGCAUGGUUGUCGUCAGCUCGUGCCGUGAGGUGUCGGCUUAAGUGCCAUAACGAGCGCAACCCUUGCUGCCAGUUACUAACAGGUCAUGCUGAGGACUCUGGCAGGACUGCCAUCGUAAGAUGCGAGGAAGGUGGGGAUGACGUCAAAUCAGCACGGCCCUUACGUCCGGGGCUACACACGUGUUACAAUGGGGAGUACAGAGGGCAGCUACCGGGCGACCGGAUGCGAAUCCCGAAAGCUCCUCUCAGUUCGGACUGGAGUCUGCAACCCGACUCCACGAAGCUGGAUUCGCUAGUAAUCGCGCAUCAGCCACGGCGCGGUGAAUACGUUCCCGGGCCUUGUACACACCGCCCGUCAAGCCAUGAAAGCCGGGGGUACCUGAAGUACGUAACCGCGAGGAUCGUCCUAGGGUAAAACCGGUAAUUGGGGCU
rnacentral:rRNA from 1 species